GAUAGAGACUCAGAGCUGCAUAUCAAUAAGCGGAGGAAAAGAAACUAACAAGGAUUCCCUUAGUAACGGCGAGUGAAGCGGGAAGAGCUCAAAUUUGAAAUCUUCGAGGUUUUACCUUGACGAAUUGUAGUUUAAAGAAGUGUUUUCUGCUGAAGUUUUGGUAAAAGUUCUUUGGAAUAGGACAUCAUAGAGGGUGAGAAUCCCGUAUUUGACCAUUAUUUUCAGCUUUGUGAUACACUUUCAAAGAGUCGGAUUGUUUGGGAAUGCAGUCCAGAAUGGGUGGUAAAUUUCAUCUAAAGCUAAAUAUUGGCGAGAGACCGAUAGCGAACAAGUACCGUGAGGGAAAGAUGAAAAGAACUUUGAAAAGAGAGUUAAACAGUACGUGAAAUUGUCAAAAGGGAAGCGUUUGACACCAGUGUUGUUUUUCUGAAAAUCAAUUAAAGAACUGUUUAUGCUAAGCUGUUUAGACUUUAUCAGCUAAUCUGUUUAGUUUUGAGCUUUUCUUUAAUGCACUUUUCAGUUAACAAGUCAACAUCAAUUUCCUUUGCUGUAAAAAAGCUUGAGGAAGGUGGCUUGAGAUUCGUCUUAAGUGUUUAUAGCCUCUUGCCUAUGCAGUCGGAGAGAUUGAGGUCUGCAGCGUAGAUCCUUCGGGGCUAAAUGCAUUUGUGCUAAGUUAUAGCAUUUUAUAGACAACUUGUUGACUAUGAUUUGUCUUGUAGCUUACUCGCUUAUGUUAUUUUACCUACGCUUAGGAUGUUGAACGCGCACAGAGUCUC
rnacentral:rRNA from 1 species